rnacentral:ncRNA from 2 species
CUGUAUAUAGUGUUUGUAGGUCUUUUUAGAUAAUAGGGAAGGAAGUGAAAGUCUUCCACAGCCCCCGCUACUGUAAGUGUGAUGAACGCUGUGAGCCACUGUUGAAAGAUGGGAAGGGACAGCUAGUAAAGUGAUCGCGAGUCAGGAUACCUGCCUAUAGAUGUGAAAUCAG